UGGCUUUUGGCUGCAGAGAGAGUUGGGUGUUUUGUUGUCCCCUGUCACUGUGGGAGGCACCUCUAGCUCCGUGCUUAUGCAACCUGCCCACUUCCCAUGAAGCCGGAAGCUCCUGCCGGAGCCCGGAGCUGGGAUGGCGCCUGAGCUCGCAGGCCCUAGCGGCUUCCCUGGAGAAUCGGGCUGGGGAUCCUCUUACCCUUCCACAGCCCAGCACAGAAAUGACUUAGCAGUUCCGAGACUCCCUUGGAUUACAGAGGAAGGGUGUUAACUGCGGUUUCCCUUAUCUUUAAAUAACAACUUCCUGUAUAAGCCUGGCGUGAAGAUGGCGCCAGGCAAACCCCAGCUGGUGCCACCACAACCAGACAAGGCAGGGACAAGGGGGCUGGGCAGCGCCCCUGCGUGUGGAGCACGCCUUCCUGCAGGUGGCCCCGUUUUGUGGAUUUGUACAAGAAGAUGCUGGAUGUCAGAGAAGACUGGAGAGGAGAACCUGUAGAAGCUGCCACUGCCCAGCAAAUACAAAAUGCCAAAGCAAAUGAGUUGUCUGCUGUUCUGAACGCCUGCCAAGCCAAGGCUGAGAAGAGCAUCAGGUUGCACUGACCCGCCCCCACCAGAGGAACCUGCAGAGUAUAUAAAGCUGGGACUCCAGGUUUUCCAGCAGCUGGAAGCCCUCCCAACAUGGGCGGCCAAG
rnacentral:lncRNA from 1 species